AGGUUAGCCAUAGCCCACUCCAAC
rnacentral:siRNA from 1 species